rfam:Homo sapiens chromosome 16, GRCh38 reference primary assembly.
GUCUACGGCCAUACCACCCUGAACGCGCCGAUCUCUUCUGAUCUCAGAAGCUAAGCAGGGUCGGGCCUGGUUAGUACUUGGAUGGGAGAAAAGACAGACCAUUAUCA